UACUACCACUCCAAGACUUGAAGAGAUCCCUGUAGCAAUCUUGUGAGAUGAUUUAUUAUGACACCAGAUCAUGACUCCUUUACAUACAAUCCUCCCUUUGAAACACGGAGCUUACAUCCAGCAUGCCUGGAGCCAGUGAAUUUAUUAAUUUGAGCAUCCUGUUUUUACUUACAAGACAGCUAAAUCAGUGUGGUGGAAUAGCAUUUUGAAAUACUCAUUUUUCCGUCUCGUCUUUCAAGCAGGUAUUGGCUCUGUAUCAGGGAAGGAGGGGCUGUAGGGUAGAAUCCAGAAAUAGGCUUUGAGUCUGGCUGCUUUUGUGGUCCAAAUGUACAAGCUCAGGACCUUUGAGCAUUUGUAGAAGGGGCAAGAGAAAGGAAGAUUUGAGGAAAUAGAUAAAAAUGUCUCAGCAGAAGCAGGACUGGAGGAGAGAGAGAAGAAAUGUGUGCCUGUGCACACAUGUGAGGGUGUCUGAGAGUGAAUGCCAACCUGCAUGUGUUAUACGGGCUCAUGCUACAUGGUUUUCCUGGCAGUUCCACUGGGGGUAGUGUGAUCUCAGAGGGAUAUAGUGUCUAGGGAUUUUGGACAGUGGGGAGAUGUCAUAAAUCCACUAGACCUGAAGGGUCCAACUGACCGGGAUGAUGGAUGUUUCAGCAGCUGUGUGAUAAUUCCACUAUGUCCUGCCCUUACUCCAACCUUAACCCACCUCAGGGAAGGUGAACCUUGGGUCAUGAUUUUCCUCCAGGUUAUGGGGAUGCAUGUUCAAAACAGAAAUCAGUGGAAUUAUAAUAAAAAAUUAAGCGGAUUUUCUGGCAGCAUCCGCAUUUGUGGUCUGGGAGCCAUAUCCACUCCUCAAGCAGUGUGGUUUCCAUAUACACAAACUCCACAUGCACAGACCUAAUCUCCUUUGGUCUGCUGGACUUGGAUUGGUAGAGUAACAUUUCUCCUGGAAGAAACAAGCGCACAAAGCAGUGUCAUCUUCUGCAUUUGGACAGAAUGUCACAUAGGAAAUUGACUCCAUCCUGGAGCUCUGGUUUCACACGUUCAUCAACUGAAGUAAGGGGGAAGGAAGCCAAGGCAAUGGCAUGACGGGAUGGUUUAGACGAGGACUUAGCAAACCUACUGCCCACAGGCCAAGUCUGGUUUGUCUCCUGUUUCAGUAAAUAAAGUUUCGUUGGAACACAGCCACACCCAUUAGUUUAUUUAUUGUUGCGUUGCGGAGUUACGAGUAUACUGUAUGGCUUUCAAUACCACCUGACCUUUAAGAGAAAAAGUUUGCCGACCCCUUGGCUGAGAUUACAAACUCCUGAAAAACAAGGACAGUGUCCAUACAUCUCCUGUUUCCUCACAGGGCCUGCCUGGUAGAAGAGCAGGUGCAGAGCAGGGAUUUGAGAUCUAUGGUGGAAGAAACGAUUCUAAGUCUGGAAUAAACCUUCCUGCUUCAAGAAUGACUUCUUUCACAGACUCCUGGGAACAUAACGCCUUGCGUUACAGAAACAACUUCAGGGGUUAAAGAAGUACAGGGUGCAAAUUGGUCUCUGUCAUUUGUAACGAGAGAGAUAAUCUUGUUGCCAUAGUUACUACAGAUGACCAGAUCGACCGUCUGCUGUAUAUAUAAUCUGGGCACCCCGGCCUCCUACUCUGUACUGCAAGGAAGGGUCCUGAGCCUCCAAUACACAUUGUGUCAGGCUGGAUCUGAGGAGACUUGGAGCCUGAGUGCCUUUCUUAGGUGGAGUUCUUCCAGGAGUGACCCUAUGCAAAGGAUUCUCACGAAAGUGAUUUGUUAAAGGCAGUGCUCUGCAGAAGAAUGAGAUAGAAGAAAGUGGAGGAAGCAGAGUAAGCAAAACACAAAUGGCAAAAAACAAAACAAAACAAUGAAAGAAGAACCGAGGUGCAAUUUCAGAUGAAGUCCGAGCCUUAGCCUGAUCCUACGGGGAUCUUUGGAGUCUGAAUUACAUUUCACAUUCAAGAAGCGACUUUGCGGUCCUAAAGGUGGUGGCUCUUCCAAGUAAGCCAAGAGUCAAGGGAGCUAGACCUUCGUAUCCUCUUACCCUUUCCUUCUCAGCAGGCAGCAUCAGAGUAUGGAGGCCCUGGAGGUACAAAAACUCUCAGGCACUUUAGGCUCUCCGGGUAGCGAAGCCACACCAGCAGCUCCCGGGUUAAGUUUACAGCAAAGAGCCCUUAGCAUCAAAGGGCACAGAAACUGGAUGGUGCAUACAGAACUUUGGUAAAGGGGGAUGCGAGAGGAUCUGGAGAGAGGACUAACGCUAUUUGCUAUAGGCCAGACUUGAUGUCUUCUCCACCAAUGCUUCCACGUGGUUUGGGAUUACAUGCCAUUUUGGAUUCUACGUGUCAUUUCUAUGAUAUGGGCCCUCCCAGGUAUAGCAUAAUCUUCUUCCUCUUUUUCCUCAUCCUUUUCCCUUUUCCUUCGAAGGAAAAUUAUUUUGGGGGAGGAAACAAAAAAAAAGCCACUUUUUGUUCAGGGUCUCCCUUGUUAUGAUUAAAAAGAUAAAAUGUUUGAAAUUUGCUUUGAGACUGUAUUAUUUCUCCUAUAACAUCUCCAGGGGAAAAUAAAUCCCCAAAGCUCUCUACCCACUCUGUAGAAUGGUAUUUCUUUUAUUUGACUUAAGUCUGCAACUUUCAUACUUCAAUGGAUCCUUGGCUCAAGUACACUGGGAUUUGGGGACCCAUGUCAUACUCACUUUAUCCACAGAGAGAUUCAUUUUGGGAGUUGACAGACUUCAGACAUGAUCGCUUUCAUCUUUCAGAGCGAAGAGCCCUCAUCUUCCUGAUCCACCCUCAAAUUAGAGCUUCUCAUUCACUCCUUCCAUGAGUCUGGCUGCUCUUCUCUGGCUCAGCACGUUUGUGUUUUUCUUGAGAGACAGUGACCAGCACUAUCCUCAGUAUCCCAGGAACGGAUAUACUACAGCUUCAGGUCAGGGUGAAUAUGUACGAAAUGACGAUCCAUUCCUGCGUGGAAGGCCAGCGCUCCAUCUUCACUAACACGAUAUAGUUGAAGAGCAUCAAGUAUCCGAUGUACGCCAGCUGUAAGGAAACACAAUACAGUGUUCUGGCUACAGAGACCCGGGAGCCCGGCCCUUGGGCAAGGCCGCCGCAUGGCAGAACAGAGCAAGCUGGGCACUUGAAAUGACUCUCAUCACAGACCAGAUCUGGGAGCCAGCUGGAUCCCUGCCUCCUUUCUUCUUGGAACAGAAGAGGACCCAACCUGGCCUUCUGGAAACUUGCUAAGAUAUGGAAGUGAACUUAUGUGGAAAUGAGGUGUGUUCCCUCUUUCAGAAACUUGGGAGUGUACACAGAAGGAGAUAUUUUUGGAAACCAGAGUGGGAAAUACUCUUAUAGGAAGGAACACAUCCGAAAGCAAAUGGGAGGUUUGAUCUAAAGCGAAUUUUACUGUUAAGCAUCUCUGGGGAGGGGACUUAAAAAUCUGGCAUUCCUCAUCUCCAUGCACUUCCUCGAGGCCUAGGCUUUGUAAACACACAGCUAUGGAUUUCUGGAAGUCAUUAUGUAAACACUAACAACAUGACUGGGGUGUCCAGUCCAAUGGGUUUGCUGAGUCUACCGUCAGCCGUGCAGAAGGGAGCCAGACACACAGGCUCCACUUCUCGGAGGCAUCUGAUACGAGGAGAGCAGUGUGUCCCAAGCUUCCUGGACUAUAAGACUCACUUGGGGAGCUUGUUAAACAUAUAGCCUCUUCAGCAACUCCUUGGAGAUUAGAUUUCAUGGGUCUGUGAUAGGGCCACGAUGUGCAUUUCUAACAAAAUUCUUUAUCAUCAAAGAAGUUUUGGAAAAAAAUACUGGGCCUUCUGUCUGGGGCAGUGGUUCUUAACCCUGGCUACUCAUUACAACCACCUGGGUCCUUUGAAAUAGCCUGAAGCUUUGGUUGUGCCCAGACCAAUGAUGUCAGAAUCUCUGAGAAUAGAGAACCCAGGUACCUUAAAAAAAUUUUUUUUAAUAGAUAAAUAGGUGGAUUAAAUAGAACCCAGGUGUUGUUGUUUUUUAAAGAGCUCCAGGCGAUCCCAAUGUGUAGUCAAGACUGAAAACCACUGUCCAAGGCAUUUGUGACUUAAAAGCAUCUUGGCCAACAAAUUGUCACAGCUGAAUAAAUGGGGACUAAGGGAAUCAAGGAAAUAAUGUUAAUGCUGAACAAUGAUCAAGAAAAGAGAAGAGAGAGAUGUCUUGAAAGAUAGGACAAAUGAGUCUUGUAUUUGUAAAGGUGAUAGGCAAUUCUUUAUACUAUUAUUUCUAUUAGUUCUUUUAUGCUCUAGAUAAGGAGUUAGCAAAUUUCUUCUGUAAAGGACCACAGAGUUCAUUUUUAAGGCUUUCAGAGCCUGACAGUCUUUCUAUAGCAAGUAAUUGACUCAACAGUUGUUAGUACAAAAGCAGUCAGAUUAUUGGUAAACGAAUGAGUUUGGUUGUGUUCCAAUAAAACUUGAUUUAUGGACA